CGCCUUGCCAGCCCGCUCAGAACUUAAAGGAAUUGACGGGGGCCCGCACAAGCGGUGGAGCAUGUGGUUUAAUUCGAUGAUACGCGAGGAACCUUACCUGGUCUUGACAUCCCGGAGACCCUUAGGAAACUAGGGGGUGCUUCCAUCUGGAAGAAUCUGGAGACAGGUGCUGCAUGGCUGUCGUCAGUUCGUGUCGUGAGAUGUUGGGUUAAGUCCCGCAACGAGCGCAACCCUUGCCUUUAGUUGCCAGCAGUUCGGCUGGGCACUCUAAAGGGACUGCCGGUGUUAAACCGGAGGAAGGUGGGGAUGACGUCAAGUCCUCAUGGCCUUUAUGACCAGGGCUACACACGUACUACAAUGGCCGAUACAAAGGGCAGCGACACUGCGAGGUGAAGCCAAUCCCGUAAAAUCGGUCUCAGUCCGGAUUGGAGUCUGCAACUCGACUCCAUGAAGUUGGAAUCGCUAGUAAUCGUGGAUCAGCAUGCCACGGUGAAUACGUUCCCGGGCCUU
rnacentral:rRNA from 1 species